AGAGGAGAUUUGCAUGCCUCAGACAUUCCUGUGAGGACUGAAGAAAUCCUGUCCUAAUGAAUGGAAGCUGCUGGGAAUUACAACAAGUAAUGAAGCUGCUCUCAUGUCUGUCAAAGAGUCCCUCACAGAGGAGAGCCAAAUAACACUGUCUCACUGAAGUCAACGGUGGAUGUGGGCUAUUGGUAAAGCUGCUGACGUUGGUAGGCUCCAAAACUGAGCUGGGUCAACAAAUCCCCAAAUGCCCCAAAGAAACUGUUUGCAGUUAUCCAGGCAGUGAUGGGAACAGCUGAGACAUCCAGAAAAGGCCACCAGGAUACCGAAAGAAGGUCACUGCUGAACUUCUUCAGGCCCUUUUGGGGCCUCAAAGGAAAUGGUCUGACUUCUCCUCCCAACUUUCCUUCCCGUUCCUCAUCCCACCUCUAUUCUUAGCAGCUUUGUCUGAAGGCUGGGAACAGAGCAUGGUUUCUUAAUUCCUCACCUCCUGUUACCUCAUAUUUUUACUCAGGAGGCUCAGGGUGGUGGCAGAGGUUGUAACCUUGCAUGGAGCUGUUGUUUUUGUUUACACAAGGACUGCUUUUCCAUUAAGUAGGAUUUCCUCACUACUGGGGCAUGCUAUAGGCGUGACAUCAAUCUGUUCUGGUACCACCAAUUUAGCUCCUCAAAACAAUAUUACACAGUCCAAAAAACAGGACCUCAUAAGUGAGCCUCCCAUGCCCACUACCUGCUGUCAUGCUCCACAAACCCAGCUCUUGGCAGGAUCCAAGAAAACAACACCAGAACACAGUGCUUUUCCCUACCCUCCACAGCCAGUGAGACUCCUUAAUUACAUCUGGGGAUGAAACUGGCUCAACAAGUCGGGCAGCUCAUGGGGCUGCUGGCUGGGAAGCUGCACCUGCAGCCCCAGCUCUCCCCAUGGGCUGAUGUCUCACCCCAAGAGGUGGAAAACAGUCUCCCUCCUUCCUUAGUCCUGUUAAUGUCUACUCUGUCUACCCCAUCUAAUCUCUAUGACAUUUGAGUGCCUUUGUGUGUCAGCUUCCUGCCACGUAAUCACCUAAAUCCCCCCCUGAAACAAAGCAGCUCCUGCUGAGGAACUCACAAUAGGUGCCUUUCACUCACACCACAACCUUGGCCUCGGUGGCACUUACAACAAAGCAUCCAUAUGUGCAUCAGUAUGGGCUGAUCGGUUGGCUCAACACUGCAGGAUCUGAGCCUGGAUAUUUGUGUGCAUGGAGCAGAAGAGCCUUACAAAAUUCCCCAUCUUCCUGACCAAUCUUUGUGUUUGUUUUUUUUUUAAAGCCUUUAUCC
rnacentral:lncRNA from 7 species